GAACGCUGGCGGCGUGCCUACUACAUGCAAGUCGAGCGAACAGACGAGGAGCUUGCUCCUCUGACGUUCGCGGCGGACGGGUGAGUAACACGUGGAUAACCUACCUAUAAGACUGGGAUAACUUCGGGAAACCGGAGCUAAUACCGGAUAAUAUAUUGAACCGCAUGGUUCAAUAGUGAAAGACGGUUUUGCUGUCACUUAUAGAUGGAUCCGCGCCGCAUUAGCUAGUUGGUAAGGUAACGGCUUACCAAGGCGACGAUGCGUAGCCGACCUGAGAGGGUGAUCGGCCACACUGGAACUGAGACACGGUCCAGACUCCUACGGGAGGCAGCAGUAGGGAAUCUUCCGCAAUGGGCGAAAGCCUGACGGAGCAACGCCGCGUGAGUGAUGAAGGUCUUCGGAUCGUAAAACUCUGUUAUUAGGGAAGAACAAAUGUGUAAGUAACUAUGCACGUCUUGACGGUACCUAAUCAGAAAGCCACGGCUAACUACGUG
rnacentral:rRNA from 1 species